GUCGCCAAUGCUUGCCGGGCGAACCAGGAGACCCAGGCCCAACUCUGCUCCUACUUCUAAUACCUACAGCAGCACCCACCAGUCUCCCCAGCAUGAGGACAUGGUUUGGCAGAGAAAGAGAAGGGGAGACUGAGCUGGCUGCUGUGGUGUCGUGAGGAGACUGCUUUCUGCUGCACCAGCUGCAUGAGACAUGCAGAGCUCUGAGCAUCUCUAACAGGCAGCACUCUGUGGAACCAUGGACUCUUCUACUUCUGAGUCCCAGUCCCAGGGCGACGGUGAGACAGCUCUGGUG